CAGUCGCCGCGGGAAUACGAAGGGUGCAAGCGUUAAUCGGAAUUACUGGGCGUAAAGCGUGCGUAGGCGGUUUGUUAAGUCUGCUGUGAAAUCCCCGGGCUUAACCUGGGAAUGGCAGUGGAUACUGGCAAGCUAGAGUGUGUCAGAGGAUGGUGGAAUUCCCGGUGUAGCGGUGAAAUGCGUAGAGAUCGGGAGGAACAUCAGUGGCGAAGGCGGCCAUCUGGGACAACACUGACGCUGAGGCACGAAAGCGUGGGGAGCAAACAGGAUUAGAUACCCCUGUAGUCCCUGUCUCUUAUAC
rnacentral:rRNA from 1 species